GACCGAGCUCAGGCAA
rnacentral:rRNA from 1 species